UAGAAAACAUGCAGGACACCAGCCCUUGAGGACCGGACUUUGACACCUAAUAACUUGUCCUUUCUAUGCCAACUUUUUCUCCUGAGUGAUGUCAUCCUUUCAUUUGUACUUUUUACAAUUAUCACCACUCUAUUUUGGAGCCACUUUUUGUUAAUCCACGUGCUUUCAGUUGCUUUCUGUAUUUUGGGGUCCUCAGCUCAAUUUUUUUGACACCACGUGACAGAUGCAUACCCUUUCUGGUUAUAUUGAAGGAAGGUCAUCAACAUAUUCCAACGUAUCAUACUUGAACCUGUUGUAUCCCAUUUUCAAGAAAAUAAAUAAAGAUAAGUUUGGGGUUGGCCUUUGCGUCCUUCAACACUUGAGCACACAGAUUUUCAGGUUUGGGCAGAGUUGUGGUCAAGGAAAAAAUAUCCACAACAUGUAGCAUAUCAUCUCAAACAUGUUUAUUGAUGUCUGUGUUUGCAUUAUGCAUGUACUGUAUAUACAGUAUUUGUGUGUACUGUAUGUAUUACAGAAGUCAUCUUUUUAUUUCUGUCACCAUUAAGAAUUGAAGUGGAGAUACAUGGAUCGUGGAAUUAGCUGCAAAGAAGGCAUGACAAGGCAUCAAAAGGGAGGAAACCCAGAUGUGCUGAUG